rnacentral:rRNA from 1 species
GACGAACGCUGGCGGCGUGCCUAAUACAUGCAAGUAGAACGCUGAAGGAGGAGCUUGCUUCUCUGGAUGAGUUGCGAACGGGUGAGUAACGCGUAGGUAACCUGCCUGGUAGCGGGGGAUAACUAUUGGAAACGAUAGCUAAUACCGCAUAAGAGUAGAUGUUGCAUGACAUUUGCUUAAAAGGUGCAAUUGCAUCACUACCAGAUGGACCUGCGUUGUAUUAGCUAGUUGGUGGGGUAACGGCUCACCAAGGCGACGAUACAUAGCCGACCUGAGAGGGUGAUCGGCCACACUGGGACUGAGACAUGGCCCAGACUCCUACGGGAGGCAGCAGUAGGGAAUCUUCGGCAAUGGACGGAAGUCUGACCGAGCAACGCCGCGUGAGGGAAGAAGGUUUUCGGAUCGUAAAGCUCUGUUGUAAGAGAAGAACGAGUGUGAGAGUGGAAAGUUCACACUGUGACGGUAGCUUACCAGAAAGGGACGGCUAACUACGUG